rnacentral:rRNA from 1 species
AGAUUGAACGCUGGCGGCAGGCCUAACACAUGCAAGUCGAGCGGCAGCACGGGUACUUGUACCUGGUGGCGAGCGGCGGACGGGUGAGUAAUACCUAGGAAUCUGCCUGAUAGUGGGGGAUAACGCUCGGAAACGGACGCUAAUACCGCAUACGUCCUACGGGAGAAAGCAGGGGACCUUCGGGCCUUGCGCUAUCAGAUGAGCCUAGGUCGGAUUAGCUAGUUGGUGGGGUAAGUGGCGUCACCAACGGACGGACGAUACCGUAACCUAGGUCGUGAGAGGAUGAUCAGUCACACUAGGAACGUAGAGACACGGUCCACGACUCCUACGGGAGGCGAGCAGGUGGGAAUAUUGGACAAGUGGGCGAAAGCCUGAUCCAGCCAAUGCCGCGUGUGUGAAGAAGGUCUUCGGAUUAGUAAAGCUAACUUUAAGGUUUGGAAGGAAGGCAAGGUUA